UACGGGGGGGGCAAGCGUUGUUCGGAAUUACUGGGCGUAAAGGGCUCGUAGGCGGCCAACUAAGUCAGACGUGAAAUCCCUCGGCUUAACCGGGGAACUGCGUCUGAUACUGAGAAGCUUGAGUCCGGGAGAGGUGAGUGGAACUGCGAGUGUAGAGGUGAAAUUCGUAGAUAUUCGCAAGAACACCAGUGGCGAAGGCGGCCUGCUGGGCAGUUUAGCUGAUACUGAGGCGCGACAGCGUGGGGAGCAAACAGG
rnacentral:rRNA from 1 species